rnacentral:rRNA from 1 species
GAGUAGAGCGGCGGACGGGUGAGUAAUGCUUGGGAAUCUACCUAGUAGUGGGGGAUAACGUGUGGAAACGCACGCUAAUACCGCAUACGUCCUACGGGAGAAAGCAGGGGAUCUUCGGACCUUGCGCUAUUAGAUGAGCCCAAGUCGGAUUAGCUAGUUGGUGGGGUAAUGGCUCACCAAGGCUACGAUCCGUAGCUGGUCUGAGAGGAUGAUCAGCCACACUGGGACUGAGACACGGCCCAGACUCCUACGGGAGGCAGCAGUGGGGAAUAUUGCACAAUGGGCGAAAGCCUGAUGCAGCCAUGCCGCGUGUGUGAAGAAGGCUCUAGGGUUGUAAAGCACUUUCAGUAGGGAGGAACAGCUUAAGACUAAUACUCUUGAGCCUUGACGUUACCUACAGAAGAAGCACCGGCAAACUCCGUGCCAGCAGCCGCGGUAAUACGGAGGGUGCGAGCGUUAAUCGGAAUUACUGGGCGUAAAGCGCGCGUAGGUGGUUUGUUAAGUUGGAUGUGAAAGCCCUGGGCUCAACCUAGGAACUGCAUCCAAAACUAACUCACUAGAGUACGAUAGAGGGAGGUAGAAUUCAUAGUGUAGCGGUGGAAUGCGUAGAUAUUAUGAAGAAUACCAGUGGCGAAGGCGGCCUCCUGGAUCUGUACUGACACUGAGGUGCGAAAGCGUGGGUAGCGAACAGGAUUAGAU